GACAGAGGGUGCAAACGUUGUUCGGAAUUACUGGGCGUAAAGCGCGUGUAGGCGGCUAAGUAAGUCGGGCGUGAAAUCCCACGGCUCAACCGUGGAAGUGCACUCGAAACUGCAUAGCUAGAGUCCUGGAGAGGAAGGUGGAAUGCUUGGUGUAGAGGUGAAAUUCGUAGAUAUCAAGCGGAACACCGGUGGCGAAGGCGGCCUUACUGGACAGUCGACGUGACGCUGAGACGCGAAAGCGUGGGAGCAACAGGGAUAAGAAACCCUGAGUACGUACCAGUCAGCAA
rnacentral:rRNA from 1 species